rnacentral:lncRNA from 1 species
AUCUGCGAUACGGUGUGCCGCUCCCUAGACAGGUAGCGCCAGAAUUUUUGUGGUUUACAUGUCAUGUAAGAAGGCAGAGUAACAGUGAAAAAACGUUCCUUGGCCAUAUGUUUAUCUU